UGGAAAACUUAUCAAAUCUUUUGUUGGUUAAAAGUGUGAAUAAAAUUCACAAUGCAUAUUGUGCUGAUUCCCUGACUUUCUCUGUAGGUAACACAAUCAAGUGUUUACUUGACCAGCGACCAGGGAGUUUCCAUCUACAUCUGGAUUCUUUAGUUGUUUGGAUCUCAUGACUGGUGGGGGUACCUUCCAGCUCAUGGGUGAUGAAAUGUGCGGACCAUUACCAGGCCCAGUCACAAACCCGUUUCACCCAAACCCGGGACAGAGUCGACCUUGUUUUAGUUUUUCAAGAUCAGCCACUGCUACAGCUGCUCGCACACCCCAUCCUUCAACUAGUCCAAAAAUGUACCAAAGAACUAUUUUCCUUGGACAACUUCAGGGUGAAAAAAAAAAGUUCAGGACAAGGCAUUGGUUAUCCCUUUUGAAGAGUCUGAGGCCUCUUUGCCUACGAUGACAUUCAAAGUAAAAGAAGCCCUUGCUAUGGGUGCAGAUGAAAAUAUAAUUUUAACCGAUAGUCAAGGAAACCUACUCCUUGAUACCCCUGGCACUAAAGGUUCUGCUUAUUGGAAGCAGAGCUCCAGACGCCUUUUUGCCAUCAAAGAGGAUGUAUUUGCAGAGAUGGGAAGGAGAAAAAGAAGAAAACUAGGGUAAGUUCAUAAAUGCUAUUACCAGAAGAGUAUAGUCAUUUUUUAACUUUUAAUAUAUCCAUGCAAAUUAAAAUCUACGCCCACUUUACUUUAAUUUAGAUUUGGGCGGUCUUAGUCAGGUCAUACCACGAACUGAUGUAGAUUUGUAGGGGUAUUGGUUACACAAGGUGUUUCAGGCAGGUCUGGGUGAGCAGUUGCUUUUAGAUGGAAUGCAUCUUUUUUCCGACACUUUAAUUUUUGCAAUUUAAUUGUCUAAUACAUGCAUGGGCAGCGUACAAAACACACCAAAGACACAGAAAAACACAUACUUCCGCACCAUAUGACCCCUUUAACUUUCAGAUGGAAUUGGAUAUCUCAGAGGACCACAGAGUUUGCUGAAAAACUGUUCCUAUAGAUGGGACAAGUUUUUCCGGAGGUGGUCAGAGAAAUUUUGAAUCCCACUCUAAUAUGGAUGUCUCUUAUUUCUUGCAUAAUCUUUUAAGAAAUUCCUUAGCCAUUUACAUACUUUUUGACAGGGUCACUGAUGCAAAAUCAUUGAUCUCAGGUGAUAAGAAUUGCAAAUCAAACGUUUAUUAGAAAACUAUGCUAAACUAGGUUUUGAGAUUCUUCUGCAUGCACAUUUUGAUUGUCUUUCAAAUGUUUUAAAGGCAAGCUUCAAGACACGAGGGAUCAGAGCUCUUUGAAAUAAGAGACAAAAUCGAGGAGGUCCUUCUUGCCUCAGAAGGUUUUCCAGUUUUCCAUAAUGAAAAACGACACUUGCAUUAACUGUUGCUUGGUUAAUUGACAUCCUAUUAGCCUUAAUAGACUACUUAAAGCAAUGAAAUGUUGCUCCUAUCGAAGUAAUGUAAUAGUUGAAUGACGGUGGAUUAUGAACUCGCCAAAAUGUAAAAGAAAGCCCAACUGGACGCAGGAUCAGUUACUGCUGCUUGCCCAGUUGGUGCUGGAAAAAAAAAACAUAAUAAAAGGGAAAUUCGGCACUGGGAUAUCAAGCAAAACUAAGCGUGAGACAUGGGAGAGGAUUUGUUUGCAGAUCAAUGCAGCAUUCCUGCUUGUAUCGCUGACCACGGACGACUGCGAGAGGCGGUGGUAUGCGCUACAAUCACAGUCGAGGGUUGAGAUUGUAGCCUUUAAACGGGCAAACAUGGCAACAGGAGGAGGAUCAGCACCUAAGCCACUGAGCCACAUUGCAUCAGUGCUGUAUAGUGUCAUUGGGUCAGACACCAGCAUAAUGGGCCUUGAGGGUGCAACUGAUCCGUCAAUGCAGCUGCUAAUGGAAAUAGAGGGGUAGGCUAUGUUUAUGAAAUGAUUGUAAUACUUACAUUUUUGGUGAUAUUUAAUGAAGAACAUAAAAUAUCAUUAUGUGCAAACCACCCACACACACAAAAAACUGUUCACAAAUUAUAAGUGGUUUAACAGGCUAUAAUUUACAGGCCAAAUGGAAACCCAGGUCCUUCAGAUGCAAGUAAUUUUCCUCUUCCUGCGCGUCUUGCACCUCUUCCUCUUCCAGCACCUCUUCCUGCACC